AUGCAUUUAAUGAUAAUUCAAAUCAAUAAUGGACCCUAGAAAUAAUUUAUUUUAGGUCUCCCAUUUUAUAGAUGAAGAAACCAACAGCCACAGGAUUGGAACAAUUUAGUGGCUAGGUGACUGUGUCAGGAUGAACUUAUCUUGCAUCCAGGCCAGUUGUUCCUCCUCUCCUUCCCUUGGAAAUGUGGUCAUGAGUAUGUUAUUUAAUCACUGCCUGCCCAGGGUAUAUAGGAAAAACAGAAAAAAGGAAAAAUGGAAAUUCUUCAGUUGAAGGUGAUAACUUUGUUUUUUUUGACAUCGCUAGUUUUGCCUGUGGCUGGCCUUAUGAGGGUCUUCAUAAAAUGCCUUGAACACACACACACACACACACACACACACACACAGAUCUGGGAGUCCAGUGAUUUCAUUUCCUGGUAUAAGUAUAUUGCCAAAGAAUUAUUAAAAUUUUAUUACAAGAGAAAGUGCAUGUGACUAAGUAGUGGAAGCAGACUUAGCAAGUUUGAACAGUCAUACACCGUGGGCUUUCCUUCAGCUGUUGAUAAGAAAAGUAGGUCAUCAGUAUAGAAAGCGUGUUUUGAAACACACUCAUUAUUAAUUUUUAAGUGAAAUUGCUGGGCCAGUCGUGUCGUCGGUUUCGUUAACCACUGCGCCACAACGGGAACUCCCCCCUCCUUUUUUUUAAAUUACAACCUUAUUGAGUAUAAUUGACAUACAAAAUUGUAAGAUAACGUGCACAUCAUGGUGAUUUGCUUUAUGUAUUUCCACAUUCAUUUCAUCUCUGGUCAGACUUUGUGGCAGUCACUCAGAGUUGCAUGACCUACUCUUAAGUCAUCAGCGAGUGCCUGUGUUGAUAUCAGUUUGUUUCCCACUUUUCUUUGUAAGAAGUUUGAAAUGAGUACAAAAUUGUAAACUGUAAAAGUAGGAGUUCCUUUCUUAGAAAACUUUAAAAAGAACAAAACUGUUUGUUGUACCUCAUCUUUUAGAAAUCAUUAUUAAUAUGUAGACUCCCAGCUUUUUAUGCGUGUCCUUUCAGGCUCUCCUUGGACAUCUGAACAGAGUCCUCUGGACUUAAGCCUAAGGGUUUUCCUUUUUUUUUUUGCUUUUAGGGCAGCACCCACAGCAUAUGGAGGUUCCCAGGCUAGGGGUCUAAUGGGAACUAUAGGUGCUGGCCUAGGCCACAGCCACAGCAAUGCCAGAUCUGAGCCGCGUCUUCGACCUACACCACAGCUCACGGCAAUGCCAGAUCCUUAACCCACUGAGCAAGGCCAGGGGGCGAACCCGCAACCUCAUGGUUCCUAGUCGGGUUUGUUUCUGCUGCCCCACCACGGGAAUUCCCAAGCCUAAGGGUUUUCAGUCAGAAGCAAAGAUGUGUUUCCUUUGGCAUACCUAAUGUGUUCUCUUGUUGGUCUCAGUAUAUUUGAGUAUUAACAGCCAGUUUCCGUAUUUUAUAAAGUGUGAGUAGAAUGCAGUUUCAUAUUUUAAAACAUGGCACCAACAGGCCAAGUGGAACCCUGGAUGUGAGGUGUCUGGGCAGCACCCCCUUGAAAGAGUUCUGAGAGGCAUCAUUGGCUGACGUGGGAAAGCCAGAUUGUAUGUGUGUGGGGAGUUUGUCAUGGAAAAAGUAAGAAAGUUCAGGGGGUAAAAAGUUGAACUGCCCUAUACUUUGUGGUUCGAGAUCAUCUUGUCUCUCUCCCAAGUCCUUUAUCUAAGGGCGAGUCACACAGUGUCUCUGGGCUGAAAAUGAAGGGCUUGGAACGGAUGACCCUUUCCAUUCCAGGCUUCUGUGAGGACCCAGCUUGGAGGCUUCUUGGUAGAUCUUCCUCAUAUUUCCCUGUCUUUUUGUUCCAAGAAACAUUUAAAAGCCAAAAUGAGACUGGGUUCUUGAAACAAAGCACAUUUAUAGUUGGCUUCCCUCAUUCUUGGCAUUUUACCUAUUACCUGGGUAGAUAGAUAAUGGGAUGAAAGUGUUUGGAAGGCUAUAAAGAGUGUGAAUUUUUACCCUUAUUUUGCUGUUCUUGGGGUCAUAAUAAAUUGAACCAACCUCAAGGCUGUUCCAUACUUGCACUCAGUUGUCUUAGGUGGUCAGCAAUUUUUCUAAAAUUUUUUUAACACCUCAGUGUCAAGCGUAGAAUGCAAACCUUUCAGCCAUAGCUGCUGUGUAUGAGGUCUGUUGUAUAUCUGAAUUUUUGCUUUGCUUUAUAUAAAGCAAAUUGUUGCAUGUAGUCUUUUUCUUCCAUUUUAAAACAACUAUUAAAGUAGGUAAAAUUAGGCAUUUUUUUUCUUCUCGAGUAUCUCACAUAUGAAUCUGUUAAUUAAGGAAUUGGAUACAGUAAAAAUGAUUUGUUAAGUGAACUCUUCAAGUGUCACUGGUGGGCUUUGUUUCAGAAAAAAAACCCUCAUAUCUCAUAUCUAGAAAUGAUGAAUGUUGAAUUUUUAUAUUUAAUCAGAGUACCUCCCAUAUUUGCUUUGGGUGUCUGCUUUCUUUUGAAUGUGUAGUCCACGUAGGCUUACAUAUUACAUUUCCAGCUUCUUAAAAAGAAUUUCCAGCUGUUGGCAUUGCCAUUUAAGUAGCUGAAUUGGGGGUGUUUGUUUCCCCCACUGCAAUCCUACUUGCCACUUUAAAUUAAAUAACAUAUCCAACUUCUCCCACAUUAAAAAGUGUCUGCCAUAAAAGCAACAUAGAAGGAACAUGUUCUUUCCCUGUUGGGACCUUCUGGAGUUUUCCUGUGGUUGCUGCUGGCUAGGGGACAUUCUCAGCCUCCUGAGCGCUUGAGUCAUUGACGCGCUGGGAAGGUCUCAGCACAUGCAGGAUUUCGCUGCUGGUAGGGGUUUUCCUGUAUGUGUUCCUAGCAGGAUGUGUUUCCUUUCAUACAAAUCAUAGAAGUGCAUCUGCUGGAAUCUUUAAACAGAUAGCUUCUCAAUAAACAGGAAAAUGUCAAAAUUGUGGUCAUUUUUUAUGAGGUUGAUGAGGUUGAUGGAAGUAGACAGAAUAGAGAGAAAUGUAAUAACAUUUACUCAGGUGUUUUGAGAGUAUUUUAUUUGGGGUCAUAACAGCACCAUAAACACCUUGUCUAUAUUUUUUCUACCCCACACGUUUCUUGAAUGUCCUGUGAAAUAAAUUUUCUAUGUAUGACAUGAUUAGACAGUACUAUAAGAAGUGUGCUUUUACACUUUACAUUCUAACGGCUCAGGAUUACAACUGACUGUGAAAUGGAAGCUUUAUUCUGAGGAUGGUUUUUAGCAAACUUUAUUCUGAUGCUUAUAAUAUAAGUCCUUAAACCACAGGCCUGAUUUUUUUUUUUUUUUUUUUUUUUUUUUUUUUUUUCUUUCCUUUUCAGGGUUGAACCAUGGCACGUGGAGGUUCCCAGGCUAGGGGUCAAAUCAGACCUGCAGCCUCUGGCCUACACCACCGCCACAGCUCAUGGCAAUGCUGGAUCCUUAAUCCACUGAGUGAGGCCAGGGAUUGAACCUAUGACCUCAUGGAUACUAGUCAGAUUCGUUUCCACUGAGCCACCGGGGAUCUCCUUUUUUUUUUUUUUUUUCUGAUUUUUUUAUAGCUUGUUCUUGGUUAAGAUGUUUACCUAACAAGUAAAGAAAAUUUUAAUCGUUUUUUUGUUUCCUUCAAUGAGCUGUUAAAUAUUGUAGAUAUUGAUAGUCAGCUUUUAGAUUUUCUUUACUUGAGGCUAAAAACAGGAGCAUAAUAUCUACUAAUGAGAAAUUUAUGUGGGAAUGUAAAUGGGUGCAGCCACUAUGGAAAAUAGUGUGGAAGUUCCUCAAAAAAUUAAAAAUAGAACUACCAUAUAAUCCAGCAGUUCCACUUCUGGGUUUUUAUCCAAAGGAUACUAAGUCAGUAUCUUGGAAAGAUAUCUGCACUCCCACGUUCAUUGCAGUAUUAUUUACAAUAGCUAAGGUAAUGGAAACAACCUAAGUGUCCAUGGGCAGAUAAAUGGAUAAGAAAUGUGGUUUGAUGAAAUAUUAUUCAACCGUUAAAAAGAAGGAAAUCCUGCCAUUUGUGACAACAUGGGUGGAUCUUGAGAGCAUUAUGCUAAGUGAAAUGAAUCAGAGAAAGACAAAUACUGUGUUUCACUUACAUGUUGAAUCUUAAAAAUGAAAACCCAAGCUCAUGGAAACAGCAGUAGAUUGAUGAUUUCCAGAGUUGGGGGUAUGUGUGUGUGGGGGGGUGGAUGAAAUGCUUGAAGGGGUCAAAAGGUACAAACUUCCAGUUAAAAGACAAAUAAGUCCUAGGGAAGUAAUGUGCAGCAUAUUGACUAUGAAAAAGAUAAAUAAAAAGUUUAUUGUGGAGUUCUUGCUGUGACACAGUGGGUUAAGAAUCUGACUGCAGUGGCUUGUUCUGGCACCGUGCGUUAAAGGAUCCAGCAUUGCCAUAGCUGCAGUGUAGGUUGCAGCUUGGCUCAGAUUCAGUCCUUGGCCUGGAAACUUCCAUUGGCUGUGGGUGCGGCCAUAUUUAGAUUUUUUUUAAAAAGUUGACUUACUACGAUAGCUGCUGGACAAUCAAGACCUAACUCUUAAACCUCUUGCUUGGCCUUCAAUAACACCUGGAUUCUUGAGCAGAGGAGGCAAGUGUCUGUGUUUCUUUCUUUCGUUCUUUUUUUUUUUUCUUUUUAGGCUGCACCCUCACCAUAUGGAGGUUCCCAGACCAGGGGUCGAAUCAGAACUGCAACUGCCGGCCUACGCCACAGCCACAGCAACGCGGGAUCCAAACCACAUCUAUGACCUAAACCGAAACUCACGGCAACGCCGGAUCCCUGACCCACCGAGUGAGGCCAGGGAUGGAACUGCAUCCUAGUGGAUACUAGUUAGGUUCGUUUCUCCUGAGCCACGAUGGGAGCUACCUAUGUUGCUAAAACAGAGGUUUCAACCGAAUCCCAGAGAGAAAAUUUCACAGUUGGGCCUGAGCUCUCAACCUGCUCUCAGAUUGUCUUUCAAAGACACAUCAGUUUUUAUUAGAAUGAAACAUAUUCUAAAAUAGUCUCAUUCUUACUGGAAAUAUGGAUAGAAUGAUAAGUUGCAUAUUAUAAGUCCUUGGAUAAGGUUUAUAAUUCCCAACAUUUUGUGAACAUUAAAAACCACGUUGCAUUUUUUUUUAUCUAAAGUCAGUUCAUUUAAAAAUACAUAAACAUUUUUUUGAUUUGCUCAAUGAAUGACUUAUUUCUGCAUCAUCUCCCUCCUUAUUACUAUAAAGAUCCUUUAUAAGUGAUAAUUGCAAAGAAAAGGCCCAAUGCGAUUUGAAGAAUUUGUGCAUGAAAGAUCUAAUGAGCAGGCAGCCUGUCCAAAGUUGAACUCUGACAAGGCAUUUAAAGUGGAGUAUAGUCUUUCCUUGGACUUUCUGUCUACACAUUAGUUCAUGAUUUUUUCAUUACUCUUUUUAAUAUAGCUGAAAGUUGGAUUGCUUUAGUUUGGGGGACACUUUAGUUGUGUAAUUUGGGACAAGAUAUUUAAUUAAAGUACUCCUGGAGUUAAGGAUCCAGUGUUGUCACCGCUGUGGCUUGGGUCACUACUGUGGCCAGGGUUUAAUUUCUGGCCAGGGAACUUCUACAUGCCAAGGGCAUGGCCAAAAAGAAAAAACAAAAAAAAACUCCUAAAUUUGAUUAUAGACAAUUUAUAAAUUUAUAGCUGAACAUUUAAAAAAUUGGUGAAGCACUAAUACCAUUUGAUAAUUUUUGAGAAGAAGGGGUUUUUGCUGUUUGAGAUAUUUCUAAUUUGUUCUGAGAUAGUUUUUAUUUUUUCCUUUGAGGUAAUUUAAAAUAGAGUAAAUAAUUACAUACUGAGGUGGGAGAACAUAAAGUUUUGUAAAAGUUCCUUGAUAACUGAUACCAGUUCAUUAAUUUGAAAAUUAUACUUCUGGCUCAUAAAGAGUAGAAAAUUGAUUUGGCUUUUUCCCCUUUGGGUAGGGAAACCUUUAAAAGUGGACUCUUCUUGGAGUUCCCGUCGUGGCACAGUGGUGAACGAAUCCGACUGGGAACCAUGAGGUUGUGGGUUUGAUCCCUGGCCUUGCUCAGUGGGUUAAGGAUCCGACGUUGCCGUGAGCUGUGGUGUAGGUUGCAGACGCAGCUCGGAUCCCACGUUGCUGUGGCUCUGGCAGAGGCUGGCAGCUACAGCUCCAAUUAGACCCCUAGCCUGGGAAACUCCAUAUGCCGCGGGAGCAGCCCAAGAAAUGGCAAAGA
rnacentral:lncRNA from 1 species